CUUGCUGAAAAAGAUGUAAGUUUUCGAUAUGUUUUAUUCUAAAAUUUGAGAUAUCAACAUUUCAAAGAACUUGUCUCUUGUGUAGAAUGAGUAUGAUUGGGACAAGGUAUCAAAUCUUUCAUAUGUUGACCAGCCUACUGGAGCUAGUUUUAGUUACAGUUCUGAUGAUCGUGACCUCCUGCAUGUGAAUUAACAAUAAAUCUUUGUGAUGAGGGUAUGCCGUUCUGAAGUAUUGGCUCAGUUCACCAUCCUGCAGUAUUUUUAUUUCUGGUUUGCAGUUGUUAUUG